UGGGGGAUAUUGCACAAUGGGCGAAAGCCUGAUGCAGCGACGCCGCGUGGGGGAUGAAGGCCUUCGGGUUGUAAACUUCUUUUGCUCUGAACAAGGCAUGCUAAUGGGUGUGUUGAGUGUAGGGGUUGAUUAGCGCCGGCUAACUACGUGCCAGCAGCCGCGGUAAUACGUAGGGCGCGAGCGUUGUCCGGAAUUAUUGGGCGUAAAGGGCUUGUAGGUGGCUGGUUGCGUCUGUCGUGAAAGCUCAUGGCUUAACUGUGGGUUUGCGGUGGGUACGGGCUGGCUUGAGUGCAGUAGGGGAGGCUGGAAUUCCUGGUGUAGCGGUGGAAUGCGCAGAUAUCAGGAGGAAUACCGGUGGCGAAGGCGGGUCUCUGGGCUGUUACUGACACUGAGGAGCGAAAGCAUGGGGAGCUAACAGG
rnacentral:rRNA from 1 species